GAGGGUAGAGCUCAGUGGUAGAGCGCGUGCUUAGCAUGCACAAGGUCCUGGGUUCAAUCCCCAGCACCUCCA
rnacentral:tRNA from 1 species